AUUGAACGCUGGCGGCAGGCCUAACACAUGCAAGUCGAACGAGUGGCGGACGGGUGAGUAAUGUCUGGGAAACUGCCUGAUGGAGGGGGAUAACUACUGGAAACGGUAGCUAAUACCGCAUACCAUCAGAUGUGCCCAGAUGGGAUUAGCUAGUAGGUGGGGUAACGGCUCACCUAGGCGACGAUCCCUAGCUGGUCUGAGAGGAUGACCAGCCACACUGGAACUGAGACACGGUCCAGACUCCUACGGGAGGCAGCAGUGGGGAAUAUUGCACAAUGGGCGCAAGCCUGAUGCAGCCAUGCCGCGUGUGUGAAGAAGGCCUUCGGGUUGUAAAGCACUUUCAGCGGGGAGGCGUUACCCGCAGAAGAAGCACCGGCUAACUCCGUGCCAGCAGCCGCGGUAAUAC
rnacentral:rRNA from 1 species